GACGAGCGCUGGCGGCGUGCUUAACACAUGCAAGUCGAACGGGAGUAUUGAAGAAGCUUGCUUUAGAGAUACUUUAGUGGCGGACGGGUGAGUAACGCGUGAGGAGCUGUCCAAUGCAGGGGGACAACAGUUGGAAACGACUGCUAAUACCCCAUAAGCCGAGCGGUAAAAGGAUUUAUCCGGCAGGGAAGGUACUCGCGUCCUAUCAGCUAGUAGGUGAGGUAACGGCUCACGUAGGCGAAGACGGGUAGCCGGCCGGAGAGGGCGAACGGCCACACUGGAACUGAGAUACGGUCCAGACUCCUACGGGAGGCAGCAGUGGGGAAUAUUGGGCAAUGGGGGGAACCCUGACCCAGCGACGCCGCGUGGGUGAAGGAAUCCUUCGGGAUGUAAAGCCCUGUUGUAUGGGAAGAGCGGAAGACGGUACCAUACGAGGAAGCCCCGGCAAACUACGUGCCAGCCGCCGCAGUAA
rnacentral:rRNA from 1 species